AACGAACGCUGGCGGCAUGCCUAACACAUGCAAGUCGAACGAGACCUUCGGGUCUAGUGGCGCACGGGUGCGUAACGCGUGGGAACCUGCCCUUAGGUUCGGAAUAACUCCCCGAAAGGGGUGCUAAUACCGGAUAAUGUCUUCGGACCAAAGAUUUAUCGCCUUUGGAUGGGCCCGCGUUGGAUUAGCUAGUUGGUAGGGUAAAAGCCUACCAAGGCGACGAUCCAUAGCUGGUCUGAGAGGAUGAUCAGCCACACUGGGACUGAGACACGGCCCAGACUCCUACGGAAGGGAGCAGUGGGGAAUAUUGGACAAUGGGCGAAGGCCUGAUCCAGCAAUGCCGCGUGAGUGAUGAAGGCCUUGGGGUUGUAAAGCUCUUUUACCCGGGAUGAUAAUGACGGUACCGGGAGAAUAAGCUCCGGCUAACUCCGUG
rnacentral:rRNA from 1 species